rnacentral:rRNA from 1 species
UGACCUCAAGUCAUAUGAGAGUACCCGCUGAACUUAA